AUUGAACGCUGGCGGCAUGCCUUACACAUGCAAGUCGAACGGUAACAGGUCUUCGGAUGCUGACGAGUGGCGAACGGGUGAGUAAUGCAUCGGAACGUGCCCAGUAGUGGGGGAUAGCCCGGCGAAAGCCGGAUUAAUACCGCAUACGACCUGAGGGGGAAAGGGGGGGAUCGCAAGACCUCUCGCUAUUGGAGCGGCCGAUGUCAGAUUAGCUAGUUGGUGGGGUAAAGGCCUACCAAGGCAACGAACUGUAGUUGGUCUGAGAGGACGACCAGCCACACUGGGACUGAGACACGGCCCAGACUCCUACGGGAGGCAGCAGUGGGGAAUUUUGGACAAUGGGCGCAAGCCUGAUCCAGCAAUGCCGCGUGCAGGAAGAAGGCCUUCGGGUUGUAAACUGCUUUUGCCAGGGAAGAAAUCUUCUGGGUUAAUACCUCGGGAGGAUGACGGUACCUGAAGAAUAAGCACCGGCUAACUACGUGCCAGCAGCCGCGGUAACAC
rnacentral:rRNA from 1 species